GAUGAACGCUGACAGCAUGCUUAACACAUGCAAGUCGACUGUGGCGGACGGGUGAGUAACGCGUAAAGAACUUGCCUCUCAGCUAGGGACAACAUUUGGAAACGAAUGCUAAUACCUGAUACUGUGAGAGAGCUUUGCGUCCCAUUAGCUAGUCGGAGAGGUAACGGCUCACCAAGGCGAUGAUGGGUAGCCGGCCUGAGAGGGUGAUCGGCCACAAGGGGACUGAGAGACGGCCCUUAGUCCUACGGGAGGCAGCAGGGGGGAAUAUUGGACAAUGGACCAAAGUCUGAUCCAGCAAUUCUGUGUGCAAGAAGAAGUUUUCGGAAUGUAAAGUGCUUUCAGUGGGGAAGCAGUACCAGCAGAAGAAGUGACGGCUAAAUACGUGCCAGCCGCCGCGGUAAUAC
rnacentral:rRNA from 1 species